UACGUAGGGUGCAAGCGUUUAAUCGGAAUUACUGGGCGUAAAGCGUGCGCAGGCGGUUAUGUAAGACAGGUGUGAAAUCCCCGGGCUUAACCUGGGAACUGCAUUUGUGACUGCAUAGCUAGAGUACGGUAGAGGGGGAUGGAAUUCCGCGUGUAGCAGUGAAAUGCGUAGAUAUGCGGAGGAAACACCGAUGGCGAAGGCAAUCCCCUGGACCUGUACUGACGCUCAUGCACGAAAGCGUGGGGAGCAAACGGG
rnacentral:rRNA from 1 species